GACGAACGCUGGCGGCGUGCCUAAUACAUGCAAGUAGAACGCUGAAGAGAGGAGCUUGCUCUUCUUGGAUGAGUUGCGAACGGGUGAGUAACGCGUAGGUAACCUGCCUUGUAGCGGGGGAUAACUAUUGGAAACGAUAGCUAAUACCGCAUAACAAUGGAUGACACAUGUCAUUUAUUUGAAAGGGGCAAUUGCUCCACUACAAGAUGGACCUGCGUUGUAUUAGCUAGUAGGUGAGGUAAUGGCUCACCUAGGCGACGAUACAUAGCCGACCUGAGAGGGUGAUCGGCCACACUGGGACUGAGACACGGCCCAGACUCCUACGGGAGGCAGCAGUAGGGAAUCUUCGGCAAUGGGGGCAACCCUGACCGAGCAACGCCGCGUGAGUGAAGAAGGUUUUCGAAUCGUAAAGCUCUGUUGUAAGUCAAGAACGGGUGUGAGAGUGGAAAGUUCACACUGUGACGGUAGCUUAACAGAAAGGGACGGCUAACUACGUG
rnacentral:rRNA from 1 species